rnacentral:rRNA from 1 species
UGAGCCAAGUUUAGGGUUUUCUCAAAACCCAAGCAGUAUUGAACUGAAGAGUUUGAUCAUGGCUCAGAUUGAACGCUGGCGGCAGGCCUAACACAUGCAAGUCGAGCGGAUGAAGGGAGCUUGCUCCUGGAUUCAGCGGCGGACGGGUGAGUAAUGCCUAGGAAUCUGCCUGGUAG